AAAAAAUUAUUUAUAUCCCCAUUUACACUUUUCAAAUCUCAUAGUUUACUAAAACAUGUAUUUGUCUAAUCACCCUACCCAAAAUCCCGUACAGAUUGCCCGACCAAAGAUAAUUCGAAUGUUUGAACUGCUUUUUACGUGCACAAAGAAAUUGUGAUUAUAUUAAAUUAAAUAAACUAACUAUAACAACUAAACGAAACAAAUCCCACGUUUGCGACGGCAAACUAAAUCGAUCAUCCAAAGUCCGUGAAAAACGCUCAAGGGAGUAUGUAAUUUAUGUAUGUACAAGAUAGACGAGAAAGUAAAAAAUCCAACUAGACUGUAAUAAUGCUGGGCUCUACUUAUAU